CCUUGUGCUUAGAAAAGGGGGAGCAUUUCAAUGGUUCGAUCUCAUCUGAUCUCGAAAGCUAAGCAGGGUCAGGCCGGGCCCGGUUAGUACUUGGAUGGGAGACCGUCUGGGAAUACCAGGUGCUGCAGGCU
rnacentral:rRNA from 1 species